rnacentral:rRNA from 1 species
GAUGAACGCUGGCGGCGUGCCUAAUACAUGCCAGUCGAGCGAACAGACGAGGAGCUUGCUCCUCUGACGUUAGCGGCGGACGGGUGAGUAACACGUGGAUAACCUACCUAUAAGACUGGGAUAACUUCGGGAAACCGGAGCUAAUACCGGAUAAUAUAUUGAACCGCAUGGUUCAAUAGUGAAAGACGGUUUUGCUGUCGCUUAUAGAUGGAUCCGCGCCGCAUUAGCUAGUUGGUAAGGUAACGGCUUACCAAGGCAACGAUGCGUAGCCGACCUGAGAGGGUGAUCGGCCACACGGGAACUGAGACACGGUCCAGACUCCUACGGGAGGCAGCAGUAGGGAAUCUUCCGCAAUGGGCGAAAGCCUGACGGAGCAACGCCGCGUGAGUGAUGAAGGUCUUCGGAUCGUAAAACUCUGUUAUUAGGGAAGAACAAAUGUGUAAGUAACUAUGCACGUCUUGACGGUACCUAAUCAGAAAGCCACGGCUAACUACGUG